UGCGUGUGUGAUGAAAACUUGACCUUAGGUAGGUCUUUAUUUGGAUCGUUUUGGUUCAAAGUUACGGACUUACCAAUGUUAGGGUUGUCAUAGUUACACUGACACGCU
ensembl:snoRNA SNORD46 small nucleolar RNA SNORD46